GAUGGGAAUCAGCAAUGCAAUGAAAUAACUCGUCAAAAUAUAAAGAUUUCCACGGAGGGAAACAGAAAAAUCACACAGUAACAUAUUUAGCCUUGAAACUUGCUAGAGCAGUGAACACCCAUGUGGAAAAGCAGAACCUUGACACUCGUUCCCAGCAAAAAUGUUCUGCAUGUUGCCCUUCAGAUAAGUGAAAGCUUUUCUUUUCCAAACAUGCUCAUUUAAUGCUGCUGGUUCCUGGGGAGCGGAGAGAUGAAAAAUCCAUGGAAUCUGAAGCAAAAUCUGCCUCAGAAUGAAGGAAAAAGGGCAGAAAGCAGGCUUACAUGAAAGAAGGUACUUCACAGGAUCCCACAGAGACAACACCAAGCAGAAGUUACUAACAUCCCAUUUAGAGUGUGGCCACACAAACCAUUGAUUCAGUAGUGGGUGUAAGUGAGGGAAGUGAGAACCUUCAGUGGAAGAGG